GCCUUUAGCCAAACUCGGGCUUAGUGGAGGGCGGGGCCUCACAGAACACUCCCUGUACCCGGCCCUGAGGCUUGCACCGAACCCCGAGACUUAAGCCUGCUGGAGCAACCCGAAGUGCAGAGCUGCCUCUUCCCUCUCUGGUAGGCUGUGCAGAGUGCGACCUGAGUCGCCUGGUGGACGAUCCAGUCCUUUCGUCCCCGCUCUUCCCACGCCCCGCCUGCUGAGCCGCUGUUAAUAACAAUAAGCUCUUCUACUGGCAUCAAUUCGGGGUGCGACCAGCUGACGAAGGGAUCUAAGCGAACCCCUCACAUUUGUAGGCCAGGGAGAAAGAAUGCGGAAGUUAUUUCGGCUUAUCAUGUAAGGAAAACGUGUCAAACCAUUGUCUCCAAGAACCUCAGGUUGACCAACCAUGAAGGAAAUACCCGGCACCUCCCAGUCCUGAAGCGCCCUUGCUUUUUUCGCUUGGCUUCACUGAGUAUGCCCUCCCCUAUGCGCCAUUUCCGCUCGCUUUAUUAACCACUGUGGACUAGGUUGGGAGCGAAUUGGGAUUCUCAUUUGACCUUGAAUUUACCUUGCCUAGAUCCUUUGGAGGCGUGCGUUCUAAAAGGCUUUCAAACUUUGGACUGGACCCGCAGUGAGAAAUAGUUUUCAAAACAGCCUGGGGCUGGUGUUUGUGGGCUGCUCAUUGCACUUGCAAAUUUUUUGUGUAAUAAUUAUAUGCUGUAUACACGUGUACAUUUUUAAAUAUUUUCUAAAAGCAUUUUUUAUCUAUGCCAUGCAUUCUAUGUAUUUCAUUCUAUGGGAUACCAUUUUUUAUAACACCUUGAUUGGAUAAAAAAAUUAACUGAGCUAGGUGAU
rnacentral:lncRNA from 1 species